rnacentral:rRNA from 1 species
UACGAAGGGGGCUAGCGUUGCUCGGAAUCACUGGGCGUAAAGGGUGCGUAGGCGGGUCUUUAAGUCAGGGGUGAAAUCCUGGAGCUCAACUCCAGAACUGCCUUUGAUACUGAAGAUCUUGAGUUCGGGAGAGGUGAGUGGAACUGCGAGUGUAGAGGUGAAAUUCGUAGAUAUUCGCAAGAACACCAGUGGCGAAGGCGGCUCUCUGGCCCGAUACUGACGCUGAGGCACGAAAGCGUGGGGAGCAAACAGG